UACGUAGGGUGCAGGCGUUAAUCGGAAUUACGUGGCGUAAAGCGUGCGCAGGCGGUCUGUUAAGACCGAUGUGAAAUCCCCGGGCUUAACCUGGGAACUGCAUUGGUGACUGGCAGGCUUUGAGUGUGGCAGAGGGAGGUAGAAUUCCACGUGUAGCAGUGAAAUGCGUAGAGAUGUGGAGGAAUACCGAUGGCGAAGGCAGCCUCCUGGGCCAACACUGACGCUCAUGCACGAAAGCGUGGGGAGCAAACAGG
rnacentral:rRNA from 1 species